GACGAACGCUGGCGGCGUGCUUAAUACAUGCAAGUCAACUGAACUUGAGGUAGCAAUAUCACAAGAGAGGUGGCGCACGGGUGAGUAACACGUAGGUAAUCUGCCUUUAGGUCUGACAUAAUUCCGCGAAAGCGGGACUAAUAUCAGAUGAUGCAGCGGCUCGACAUCGAGACAGUUGUUAAACCUUCGGGGCCGUAAAC
rnacentral:rRNA from 1 species